GCAUUGAGAGGAAACCUGUGAGGGAAGCUUCAUGGAGAAGAACCUGUGAGCUGAGAGGGCUUCAUCGAUCAACUAUCUUUGUCGAUUUCUCCUCAAACCCUACGGUUAAAGUGACUACAAGUAAGAUAAGAAUGAUGGAUACACAAGAGAAAUCAUCCAAUCUGUCAAGGGGGAAAGAAAUUGCUAUGAACGAGAAUGCUAGUAAAAAAAGAAAGAUGGAGAUUGGGAAGGAAAUCGUCAAAGGGCCAGCAAAUUGGACAGAUGAUUACAAAAAAAAAUUUAUUGACAUCUUAUUGAUCAAGUACGUAAAGGGGCUAGAAUAAACACUAGUUUUAGUAGAGAUGCUUGGGAUAUCAUUUUAAAGCAGUUUAAUGAGUCAAAGCAAGCCAAUUAUGAUAUGCAAACAAUUAAGAAUUGUUAUAGGGCCUUGAGAAGUGCAUGGAUUACAUGGAAAGUAUUAUUGGAAAAUAACAGCGGAUAGGGAUGGUGUCACCAAUUUGAAAUUCCCUCAUCCUCCAGAAGGAAAGUAUUACCUUGUUGAUCUUGGAUUUUCAAAUGUCCCCGGAUACCUUGCCCCAUUCAAAAAUGUGUGUUACCAUAAACAAGAUUAUAACCACAGAAGACCACAAGGGGCUAAAGAAUGGUUU